rnacentral:rRNA from 1 species
UACGGAGGGUGCGAGCGUUGUCCGGAAUCAUUUGGCGUAAAGGGCGCGUAGGUGGCCCGGUCAGUUCGUGGUGAAAGCGCGGGGCUCAACCCUGCGUCGGCCAUGAAUACUGCCGCGGCUGGAGCACUGUAGAGGCAGGCGGAAUUCCGGGUGUAGCGGUGGAAUGCGUAGAGAUCCGGAAGAACACCGGUGGCGAAGGCGGCCUGCUGGGCAGUUGCUGACACUGAGGCGCGACAGCGUGGGGAGCAAACAGG